rnacentral:rRNA from 1 species
UAUGUGAUCGUCUCUCGCAUAUCAAUAAGCGGAGGAAAAGAAACUAACAAGGAUUCCCCUAGUAACGGCGAGUGAAGCGGGAAGAGCUCAAAUUUGAAAUCUUAAAGGGUUUCCCUUUACGAAUUGUAGUUUAAAGAAGUGUUUUCUGUUGAGGUUUUGGUAAAAGUUCUUUGGAAUAGGACAUCAUAGAGGGUGAGAAUCCCGUAUUUGACCUUUACUUUCAACUUUGUGAUACACUUUCGAAGAGUCGGAUUGUUUGGGGAAUGCAGUCCAAAAUGGGUGGUAAAUUUCAUCUAAAGCUAAAUAUUGGCGAGAGACCGAUAGCGAACAAGUACCGUGAGGGAAAGAUGAAAAGAACUUUGAAAAGAGAGUUAAACAGUACGUGAAAUUGUCAAAAGGGAAGCGUUUGACACCAGUGUUGUUUUUCUGAAAAUCAAUUAAAGAACUGUUUAUGCUAAGUUGUUUAGACUUUAUCAGCUAACUGUUUAGUUUUGAGCUUUUCUUUAAUGCACUUUUCAGUUAACAGGUCAACAUCAAUUUCUUUUGCUGUAAAAAAGCUUGAGGAAGGUGGCUUGAGAUUCGUCUUAAGUGUUUAUAGCCUCUUGCCUAUGCAGUCGGAGAGAUUGAGGUCUGCAGCGUAGAUCCUUCGGGGCUAAAUGCAUUUGUGCUAAGUUAUAGCAUUUUAUAGACAACUUGUUGACUAUGAUAUUGUCUUGUAGCUUACUCGCUUAUGUUAUUUUACCUACGCUUAGGAUGUUGAAGUCAUCGUAUCGCGC